UGAACGCUGGCGGCAGGCCUAACACAUGCAAGUCGAGCGGAUGAAGGGAGCUUGCUCCUGGAUUCAGCGGCGGACGGGUGAGUAAUGCCUAGGAAUCUGCCUGGUAGUGGGGGAUAACGUCCGGAAACGGGUGCUAAUACCGCAUACGUCCUGAGGGAGAAAGUGGGGGAUCUUCGGACCUCACGCUAUCAGAUGAGCCUAGGUCGGAUUAGCUAGUUGGUGGGGUAAAGGCCUACCAAGGCGACGAUCCGUAACUGGUCUGAGAGGAUGAUCAGUCACACUGGAACUGAGACACGGUCCAGACUCCUACGGGAGGCAGCAGUGGGGAAUAUUGGACAAUGGGCGAAAGCCUGAUCCAGCCAUGCCGCGUGUGUGAAGAAGGUCUUCGGAUUGUAAAGCACUUUAAGUUGGGAGGAAGGGCAGUAAGUUAAUACCUUGCUGUUUUGACGUUACCAACAGAAUAAGCAUCGGCUAACUUCGUG
rnacentral:rRNA from 1 species